AUUGAACGCUGGCGGCAGGCCUAACACAUGCAAGUCGAGCGGAUGAAGAGAGCUUGCUCUCUGAUUCAGCGGCGGACGGGUGAGUAAUGCCUAGGAAUCUGCCUGGUAGUGGGGGACCACGUUUCGAAAGGAACGCUAAUACCGCAUACGUCCUACGGGAGAAAGUGGGGGAUCUUCGGACCUCACGCUAUCAGAUGAGCCUAGGUACGAUUAGCUAGUUGGUGAGGUAAAGGCUCACCAAGGCGACGAUCGUUAACUGGUCUGAGAGGAUGAUCAGUCACACUGGAACUGAGACACGGUCCAGACUCCUAGGGGAGGCAGCAGUGGGGAAUAUUGGACAAUGGGCGAAAGCCUGAUCCAGCCAUGCCGCGUGUGUGAAGAAGGUCUUCGGAUUGUAAAGCACUUUAAGUUGGGAGGAAGGGCAGUAAGUUAAUACCUUGCUGUUUUGACGUUACCGACAGAAUAAGCACCGGCUAACUUCGUGCCAGCAGCCGCUGUAAAAC
rnacentral:rRNA from 1 species